UACGUAGGGAGCGAGCGUUGUCCGGAUUCAUUGGGCGUAAAGAGCUCGUAGGCGGCUUGGUAAGUCGGAUGUGAAACCUCCAGGCUCAACCUGGAGUCGCCAUCCGAUACUGCCAUGGCUAGAGUCCGGUAGGGGCCCACGGAAUUCCUGGUGUAGCGGUGAAAUGCGCAGAUAUCGGGAAGAACACCCGUGGCGAAGGCGGCACUCUGGGACGGUACUGACGCUGAGACGCGAAAGCGUGGGGAGCGAACAGG
rnacentral:rRNA from 1 species